UGGAGUGUGUAUUAAUCUGCAGCCCUUCUCUUAAGCUGUAUGUGAUUAAUAUCAGCAAACAGAUAAAUUCUCUCAUUUUUCUCAUGACAAAUGAAGUGUGCAGCCAGUCUCAUUACAAGUGUUUCUCCAUUGCCAUGAUGCCCACUGACCACCACGAGAAAGAAGUUACCAACCUAGGAAAUUUCUGUGGGAGCAAAUCCACCAAAUUGCCACACCGUAGGCUGAAAACUCAAAUACGUGCCCUGAUGUGACAGAGUGCUCGGCGUUAUGAUCGGAGCAAAGCAGC
rnacentral:lncRNA from 1 species